AAAAAAUCUUCAUCACUAUCUGCAACCAGGAUGGAGGAGCAGGUGAAAUGGAGCUGUCUCUCUUGCAGGGUCUUUUUUUUUUUUCCUCUGGCCCUGGGGGGAACCGAGGUGCUAAGGAGGAGGCGAUGAACUGAAAUUUCAAAAAGCGUGCGCAGUUCUUCACUCUCAGGGAAUGAUGCCAUGGACAUAACCUUCGAUUAACCACCAGCCACGUCAUGGAUGCAGACAGGAUGUUCUCAGCACUCACUCAAGACUUAAAGCUUAACCUCCUGCUUAGGAGUUGCUGAGGUUUGCUUGUCUUUCAUUGCUCAAAAAAAAAUUAUUUCAUGGUCGUGGUUUUCAGGUUGUAAGGAUAAGCUGUGCUUUUACCAGUCAGUCAUUGUACCUUUUACAGUAGGCUACUUUUACAACUUCUGUUAACACGAAUUUGGUAUCGCCCCCCCCCCCCUGCUGCUACCUAACACACUUUCAGCUUAGUGUUACGUUGACCCGAAAAUGCAUUACACUCGUGUAAAUGACACCCAUGCUAACUGUUGCCAAGUAGCUUUAAGACCACUCAUUUAACAGCGUGAGACCUUGAAAGCCUUGCUCAGGUCGACCUGUAGUACACAUGACCUGCAAGUGACUGUGAUAAAUCACUCAGCCCUGAUGAGGUGUUUCACAUAAUCCUAACACAAAGAACCAACUUACUAGUAAUCACAUUGCCAGACUGAUUUGUCUCCCUUUUUUCUUACACUACACUUUAACCUUUGAACUCUUGUGCAUGUCAAGUGAUUGAAAACACACGAGCUGACCCGCAGGCAGGGUUUGUUAUAAGCUGUAGUAUUCAUCGUACAGGAUCUGUCCCCUUUUGCUUUUAUACGCAGUUCUCUUGGCAUCUGUGUUAUGUGCGUUGGUCCUUGCAAUGUUUUUUUUCCCAGAUUUAAAUGGCUUAUGAUUUAAAAUAUACAAACACUGGCUAACUGUGACACUGUUAAUGCAUUGCAUUUUGUUUCUGCAUUUCAAAAAUUGCGUGUAAAUAAAACUAAUGAAAUAA